rnacentral:rRNA from 1 species
GGGUUGUGAGGUUAAGCGACUAAGCGUACACGGUGGAUGCCCUGGCAGUCAGAGGCGAUGAAGGACGUGCUAAUCUGCGAUAAGCGUCGGUAAGGUGAUAUGAACCGUUAUAACCGGCGAUUUCCGAAUGGGGAAACCCAGUGUGAUUCGUCACACUAUCAUUAACUGAAUCCAUAGGUUAAUGAGGCGAACCGGGGGAACUGAAACAUCUAAGUACCCCGAGGAAAAGAAAUCAACCGAGAUUCCCCCAGUAGCGGCGAGCGAACGGGGAGCAGCCCAGAGCCUGAAUCAGUGUGUGUGUUAGUGGAAGCGUCUGGAAAGGCGCGCGAUACAGGGUGACAGCCCCGUACACAAAAAUGCACAUGCUGUGAGCUCGAUGAGUAGGGCGGGACACGUGGUAUCCUGUCUGAAUAUGGGGGGACCAUCCUCCAAGGCUAAAUACUCCUGACUGACCGAUAGUGAACCAGUACCGUGAGGGAAAGGCGAAAAGAACCCCGGCGAGGGGAGUGAAAAAGAACCUGAAACCGUGUACGUACAAGCAGUGGGAGCACGCUUAGGCGUGUGACUGCGUACCUUUUGUAUAAUGGGUCAGCGACUUAUAUUCUGUAGCAAGGUUAACCGAAUAGGGGAGCCGAAGGGAAACCGAGUCUUAACUGGGCGUUAAGUUGCAGGGUAUAGACCCGAAACCCGGUGAUCUAGCCAUGGGCAGGUUGAAGGUUGGGUAACACUAACUGGAGGACCGAACCGACUAAUGUUGAAAAAUUAGCGGAUGACUUGUGGCUGGGGGUGAAAGGCCAAUCAAACCGGGAGAUAGCUGGUUCUCCCCGAAAGCUAUUUAGGUAGCGCCUCGUGAAUUCAUCUCCGGGGGUAGAGCACUGUUUCGGCAAGGGGGUCAUCCCGACUUACCAACCCGAUGCAAACUGCGAAUACCGGAGAAUGUUAUCACGGGAGACACACGGCGGGUGCUAACGUCCGUCGUGAAGAGGGAAACAACCCAGACCGCCAGCUAAGGUCCCAAAGUCAUGGUUAAGUGGGAAACGAUGUGGGAAGGCCCAGACAGCCAGGAUGUUGGCUUAGAAGCAGCCAUCAUUUAAAGAAAGCGUAAUAGCUCACUGGUCGAGUCGGCCUGCGCGGAAGAUGUAACGGGGCUAAACCAUGCACCGAAGCUGCGGCAGCGACGCUUAUGCGUUGUUGGGUAGGGGAGCGUUCUGUAAGCCUGCGAAGGUGUGCUGUGAGGCAUGCUGGAGGUAUCAGAAGUGCGAAUGCUGACAUAAGUAACGAUAAAGCGGGUGAAAAGCCCGCUCGCCGGAAGACCAAGGGUUCCUGUCCAACGUUAAUCGGGGCAGGGUGAGUCGACCCCUAAGGCGAGGCCGAAAGGCGUAGUCGAUGGGAAACAGGUUAAUAUUCCUGUACUUGGUGUUACUGCGAAGGGGGGACGGAGAAGGCUAUGUUGGCCGGGCGACGGUUGUCCCGGUUUAAGCGUGUAGGCUGGUUUUCCAGGCAAAUCCGGAAAAUCAAGGCUGAGGCGUGAUGACGAGGCACUACGGUGCUGAAGCAACAAAUGCCCUGCUUCCAGGAAAAGCCUCUAAGCAUCAGGUAACAUCAAAUCGUACCCCAAACCGACACAGGUGGUCAGGUAGAGAAUACCAAGGCGCUUGAGAGAACUCGGGUGAAGGAACUAGGCAAAAUGGUGCCGUAACUUCGGGAGAAGGCACGCUGAUAUGUAGGUGAAGUCCCUCGCGGAUGGAGCUGAAAUCAGUCGAAGAUACCAGCUGGCUGCAACUGUUUAUUAAAAACACAGCACUGUGCAAACACGAAAGUGGACGUAUACGGUGUGACGCCUGCCCGGUGCCGGAAGGUUAAUUGAUGGGGUUAGCGCAAGCGAAGCUCUUGAUCGAAGCCCCGGUAAACGGCGGCCGUAACUAUAACGGUCCUAAGGUAGCGAAAUUCCUUGUCGGGUAAGUUCCGACCUGCACGAAUGGCGUAAUGAUGGCCAGGCUGUCUCCACCCGAGACUCAGUGAAAUUGAACUCGCUGUGAAGAUGCAGUGUACCCGCGGCAAGACGGAAAGACCCCGUGAACCUUUACUAUAGCUUGACACUGAACAUUGAGCCUUGAUGUGUAGGAUAGGUGGGAGGCUUUGAAGUGUGGACGCCAGUCUGCAUGGAGCCGACCUUGAAAUACCACCCUUUAAUGUUUGAUGUUCUAACGUGGACCCGUAAUCCGGGUUGCGGACAGUGUCUGGUGGGUAGUUUGACUGGGGCGGUCUCCUCCUAAAGAGUAACGGAGGAGCACGAAGGUUGGCUAAUCCUGGUCGGACAUCAGGAGGUUAGUGCAAUGGCAUAAGCCAGCUUGACUGCGAGCGUGACGGCGCGAGCAGGUGCGAAAGCAGGUCAUAGUGAUCCGGUGGUUCUGAAUGGAAGGGCCAUCGCUCAACGGAUAAAAGGUACUCCGGGGAUAACAGGCUGAUACCGCCCAAGAGUUCAUAUCGACGGCGGUGUUUGGCACCUCGAUGUCGGCUCAUCACAUCCUGGGGCUGAAGUAGGUCCCAAGGGUAUGGCUGUUCGCCAUUUAAAGUGGUACGCGAGCUGGGUUUAGAACGUCGUGAGACAGUUCGGUCCCUAUCUGCCGUGGGCGCUGGAGAACUGAGGGGGGCUGCUCCUAGUACGAGAGGACCGGAGUGGACGCAUCACUGGUGUUCGGGUUGUCAUGCCAAUGGCACUGCCCGGUAGCUAAAUGCGGAAGAGAUAAGUGCUGAAAGCAUCUAAGCACGAAACUUGCCCCGAGAUGAGUUCUCCCUGAC